rnacentral:rRNA from 1 species
UACGGGAGGCAGCAGUGGGGAAUAUUGCACAAUGGGCGCAAGCCUGAUGCAGCCAUGCCGCGUGUAUGAAAAAGGCCUUCGGGUUGUAAAGUACUUUCAGUCGUGAGGAAGGUGUUAAGGUUAAUAACCUUAGCAAUUGACGUUAGCGACAGAAGAAGCACCGGCUAACUCCGUGCCAGCAGCCGCGGUAAUACGGAGGGUGCGAGCGUUAAUCGGAAUUACUGGGCGUAAAGGGCACGCAGGCGGUUAAUUAAGUUGGAUGUGAAAUCCCCGGGCUUAAACCUGGGAAUGGCAUUCAAGACUGGUUAGCUAGAGUCUUGUAGAGGGGGGUAGAAUUCCAUGUGUAGCGGUGAAAUGCGUAGAGAUGUGGAGGAAUACCGGUGGCGAAGGCGGGCCCCCUGGACAAAGACUGACGCUCAUGUGCGAAAAGCGUGGGGAGCAAAACAGGGAUUAGAUACC